UGUUUCUGUUAAACCUGAGCAAAGGUCACAGAAUCUACCCUCAUACUGGUUUCUUUUGAAUUGGCUAAUUGGGAUUUACAAGUCAGGCACUUGUUAGGAUUGAAACAGAAUAUAUAGAUUCCUGAGAAGUUUCUGCUUCUACGUAUAAAAAGCAAGGUGCAACCAUGUGCAAGUGCAAUAAAGCUAAAUACUUAAAACACAGUAGCUUUGUAAAAGUUCUCUCAAAACUAGUAUCUGCGAUGGAAAAUUGAAAUAGUGAUUCACAGCAGAGAUAGGACAAGGAUAGUAAACAGGAAACCUGGAGUCAACCUAGACAGUAAGUAAUUGGCGUUAUAAGUGUUUACUUCAUUUUGUUACACUUUAGUACUUUGCCAUUUUCUCAUUUCUCUUUCCUUUGAUGCUACAGAAUUAAUUUGGAACAGUAGAAAGUGUUUGUAUGCAUUACCAUAGCCUUGGAUAAAGUAUGCACAGGUGGUCACUCUCAUGAACUCUUCAAUCUCAUUACUUAACGGAGCCCCUCCUGAAAUUAAUAAGCG
rnacentral:lncRNA from 1 species